rnacentral:lncRNA from 1 species
UCUCCGUAGAGAACUCAACACAUUAUCGUAUCGCAAUACGAAUACCAUCGGUUCAACAAAAAUUCCAAGAAAUGACAGAAUUCUUGCUCUCACAACUUCACCAUCACAACCAUACACAGAUCACCAUCAUAUACAAAGUCAACCAAAUUCAUUGACCAACAAUUAAAAAAAUCACAAAUAAUUAAAUAACUUAAUUUAAUUAUUAUUUUUUUUCCUCGCACCCCCAUGAAAUUUACUAAUUUCACACUUCAAUCAACUAGAAUAACAUUUCUAGUGCACCCCCACUUUUUACUAAUAACACAACACCAAAGAAGACACUUAUUUCCAAUAUACCCCUUUUUUCCUUUAAACACACUCCCUUUCCAACCACUUGUCCAAGUGGAACCCAUUGUACCAUUUUAAUUAAAAAAAAAACAUAUUUUCUCUCACCCAGGUGGGCCUCACGCAGGUCCACCUCCAACUCAUCUUCACUCUCUCAUUUUCUCUCUCUUAUUUACAUAAUUUCCUCCUUUACGUGACAUUCACCUUUCUUCAUCAAUUUAUUUAUUUAUUAUUAUUUUUUUUAUAAGAAAACACAACCAAAACUCUUUCUCUUUCUUCCUUUUUCCUACUUUUACGUAACAUCUCCUUCCACAUAUCUUCACACUACUAUUUUUACAAUUUAAUCUUCUCUCUCAUGCUACCAACACUCACGGCCCCACCACACCUCCUACUCUUUUCUUUUAUUUUAUUUUUUUCUUUCCUUCACUCUCUACACCACAAUUUACGUACUCCACAUUCUUUAUCUCCUUCUUUUCAUUUGAAUUUUCAACACCAUCCGAAAUACCCAUUUUGUUCUCACUCACCACUCAACAUACUCUCUUCUCUGUCUUUCACUUUUUACUUUUACAACUUUUCAUUUAAAACUCUAUCACCUUAACUCUUAACUUAUGUAACACACUCAUUCAUUU